CUCCAAAGCCCUCUUCUAUCAGCCAUGCCAUGCUCUGUGUAGGUUCGGCUGGGAGCCAGAAGAACACGCUCAGUCAGCCACAUGUGGAUGCAGGCCUUUUCCUCACUACCACUGGGGCGGGACAAGGGGCGGUCCAACAUGGCCCCAGCAGCCUGGCCUGCACCCUCAGACCUCCUGCCCACAACGCCAUAAAGAGCAUACUUGUCCCCCGUGAAACUCUCUUCAUCCAAGGAAGAACGCGUGCUCCUCUUCUGAAGGUCCUUGGAUGCCUGCUGAGAUGUUGUUGACGCCUCGUGUCACACCGCAGCUCCGUCCAGAUGAUUCUAAUAAUAGCCCAGUGGAAUCCUGUGGUUGGAGGAGACUGAGAGAGGUCACUGAGUCUGUCUUCUGCCUGCAGAAGGGAAUUAAGAUCUCCAGAAUUCUCCCGCAGCAGCCAUCAACAUUGCCGUUGGCUCUUACAUCCCUUGCCCCAGGCAUCACUACGCUGAUGGGCCACCAGAGCCUGAGGCAUUCCGAGAUGACACAUAGCACAAGACACAAAGCACAGAUAAGUGCAGAGGUGGCCUCUUCUUUACAUCUCUUGUCUCUUGGAGUCUCUUGGAGUUAUUACCCCUGUCUUCUCACAAUGUAGUAUUUGUGUUUUCUCCAGCUCUGGGCUACUGUUGGCAUUUGCUUUCACUGAGGCCAAAGAGGUGUGUAAGUACCCUGCCUACAGCCUGAGCCCUGUCUAAAGAAAGCUGUGUUAGCUUCCCUGCAUUUUCAAAAUUC
rnacentral:lncRNA from 1 species